UAAAUAUCUAAAUUUAAGUGUAUCAUUUACAAUGAUAGGAUGUUUUUUAAACUUUAUUUAAAUUGAAUUUAUUAAUAAUUUAAUUUGAAUUUAA
rnacentral:tRNA from 1 species